rnacentral:rRNA from 1 species
UACGGAGGGAGCUAGCGUUGUUCGGAAUUACUGGGCGUAAAGCGCGCGUAGGCGGCUUUGUAAGUUAGAGGUGAAAGCCCGGAGCUCAACUCCGGAACUGCCUUUAAAACUGCAUCGCUUGAAUCCAGGAGAGGUGAGUGGAAUUCCGAGUGUAGAGGUGAAAUUCGUAGAUAUUCGGAAGAACACCAGUGGCGAAGGCGACUCGCUGGACAGACAUUGACGCUGAGGUGCGAAAGCGUGGGGAGCAAACAGG